CGGUCAGGUCCGUGAGGGUGUGACCGACCGGGCAGAAGUCAGCAGAGGUCGUAGUACCAGCCAGGGAUCAAGGGUUGUGGGCUGGGAAGGAC
rnacentral:ncRNA from 1 species